GACGGAGGGUGCAAGCGUUAUCCGGAAUCAUUGGGUUUAAAGGGUGUGUAGGCGGAGAGAUAAGUCAAUGGUAAAAGAUCUUAGCUUAACUAAGAGCGCGCCGUUGAAACUGUUUUUCUAGAGAGACUUAAAGGUAGGCGGAACUUAUGGAGUAGCGGUGAAAUGCAUAGAUUCCAUAAAGAACACCGAUAGCGAAGGCAGCUUACUGGGAGUCAUCUGACGCUGAGGCACGAAAGCGUGGGGAUCAAACAGG
rnacentral:rRNA from 1 species